ACUAGAUGGUUAGCACAAGCACACAAGUCUGUAAACCUCAUGCUUAACCUUUAYACAGUCUCAACUACCUACCUCCCCUCAAAGAAUAACUUAAACUUUUGAUGCUCAAAAGAUUACGUAGAAAUACGAGAAAAUCAUACUCAAUCCCCCUUACAAAAUACACAUGGAGCCCCACCCUAAACGCAUAAACCACUCUCAUGGCAUGUCGUGGGCAUGGCAAAGGCUGCGAUGUAACAGUUGGGGGUCCAACAAAGUGGCAUGUCCCACGUGUCACUCUUCCUCAACUGUCGUGUUGCCGGAUUCCGUCUGUCUGCGAUCGAUUUUCACGUUGCAUCCAGCGUGUUGUUCUACUCCCGCUUUGCCUCGCUCCCUAGACCUCUCACCUUCUUCUCCAUCGUCAGUCGUCACCUUCACAACGUGCCUGGAUGUCCCACAGGCUUCGCCUCCGUCCCAGUGUCUCUAGCGGUUUUACGGUACAUCUCCGUUGUUUUUACAAUGGCAGAAGAGGCCAAGGAGUUCAGCCCCGAUUUCCCGUCAGAAUUGGUCACGCAGGACACAUCUGACCAACCCCUCCGCGAUGACCCCAGAUUUUUCAACGAAAACCACUGUUUUCUCGUUUGGCUCCACCUGCAUUUCUUCCAUUUCGUUAAUCUCCAACCAAACUCCUUGCGAAACCUUCCGCCUCUGCUCCACCUUCUUCUCGUUUGGCUAUCGCCCUAUACGAUAGGAAAUUAUCUGGUCCGGUGAGAGAACUGCGGGUGUCUGUUAAAAGCCUAGCGUCGAACAUAAGGCGGUUGACAGGAGUCUACACGGCUUUGAUCCGACUAUCCAACACUCGCAUUUUUCUUUCUCAUUCGGUCCCUUUGUUAGGGCUUACAUCAAUGGCUAAUCCAGAAGAAUCAAGCCCUCUUCUGACCAAGCAAGGUGAUGGAGAGAGGAAUGCCAAGCACGGCGAGAAAAAGGCGGCGCCUACGAAACCAGUGGCGGUGGAAUCUGGACAGAGCAUCGACCGGGGUGCGGGAUGGACUGCCGAUGGUUUGCCGUUAGGACACAGGAGUGUAGUUGGUGAACCGGUGGCUCGUGCUCAAUGGGAUUCCUCUCAACGAUGAUCGAAUGGGGCUCCUUUAGCCCUCUACUUCCUCAUAGAACUUGAGCGAGAGAGGAAGAGAGUGGAAGAACACAGCUUGAAUAAGAGAGAGAAGGCACAUGUCAAAAAUAUAAAACAUGAGCGUUAAGUCAUAAACGUUGUAAGUGUUGAUCUCUAAUUAUAUCCGUACACCAACCAAAUGCUUUAGGUAUAGAUAUAACGCAGAAGCAUAGGAGGAUCGUACAACGGUUAAACGAGAGUUAACUUCAGAUUAAAAUAAUAUCAAAGGGACGAUAGAAUCAAACACUACAAAUUCAUUCAGAAAUAGACUAGUACAUAUAAAAUACACCAAAAUUUUCAGGAUCAUAUCACUCUCGCUCUCCCUCUCGCCCUCUCUCUCUCUCUCUCUCACACACACACACCUUUGCCCAAUCCAAAACAGGAACCCGCUAGGGAUCCAAAAGGACAACGUAGAACUUUUAAAAAAACACUUCUAAGGGAACAAAGAAAAAACGUUAAGACACAGAGAAUCCUCCUCGAGUUCACGAAACAUCAACCUCCCUCGUUUAGAAAUUCCUGUACACUUUUUGUUACUUGCGGCGAUUCAAAAUCUCGAAUGUCACCUGUUCUGCUUUUCUCGUUGUCGAGCUCAAUGUUACACAACUUUGAGGUCCCAUGGAAAAAUGGAAAUGACCUCACUAGUCUAAAAAUUUCACGUUCCCAAAAUUUAGAGGAAAAAAAAAAAAAA